AGUGAACGCUGGCGGCGUGCCUAAUACAUGCAAGUCGAACGAAGUGGCGCACGGGUGCGUAAUAUAUAGUUAAUCUGCCCUACACUGAGGGACAACAGUUGGAAACGACCGCUAAUACCUCAUAGUGUAGUAUGAGACUAUAUCGUAUCAGCUAGUUGGUAAGGUAAUGGCUUACCAAGGCUAUGAGGCGUAACUGGUCGGAGAGGAUGAUCAGUCACAUUGGAACUGAGACAGGGUGCAAACACCUACGGGAGGCAGCAGAAAGGCAAAAUGCACAAGGGGCGAAACCCUGAGGGGGCAACGCCGCGUGGAGGAUGACACUUUUCGGAGCAUAAACUCCUUUUAUCAGGAAAGCGGUACCUGAUGAAUAAGCACCGGCUAACUCCGUGCCAGCAGCCGCGGUAAUAC
rnacentral:rRNA from 1 species